rnacentral:rRNA from 2 species
CUCAAAGAUUAAGCCAUGCAUGUCUCAGUACAAGCCGCAUUAAGGUGAAACCGCGAAAGGCUCAUUAAAUCAGUUAUGGUUCCUUAGAUCGUACCCACAUUUACUUGGAUAACUGUGGUAAUUCUAGAGCUAAUACAUGCAAACAGAGCUCCGACCGGAGACGGGAGGAGUGCUUUUAUUAGAUCAAAACCAAUCGGCGGCGGGCGCGUCCGCGCGCCCGUUCGCCGCUCAACCUGGUGACUCUGAAUAACUUUGUGCUGAUCGCACGGUCUCGCACCGGCGACGCAUCUUUCAAAUGUCUGCCUUAUCAACUGUCGAUGGUAGGUUCUGCGCCUACCAUGGUCGUAACGGGUAACGGGGAAUCAGGGUUCGAUUCCGGAGAGGGAGCCUGAGAAACGGCUACCACAUCCAAGGAAGGCAGCAGGCGCGCAAAUUACCCACUCCCGGCACGGGGAGGUAGUGACGAAAAAUAACGAUACGGGACUCAUCCGAGGCCCGGUAAUCGGAAUGAGUACACUUUAAAUCCUUUAACGAUGAUCAAUUGGAGGGCAAGCCUGGUGCCAGCAGCCGCGGUAAUUCCAGUUCCAAUAGCGUA